rnacentral:pre_miRNA from 14 species
AGAUUGGAAAAGAAUUCUUUUGGGCGGGAGUCAAGAGCAAUAACGAAAAAUGUUUGUCAUAAACCGUUUUUCAUUAUUGCUCCUGACCUCCUCUCAUUGCUAUAGUCGGUCAAGUAAG